GCCUACUUAGCUCAAUGGUAAGAGCAUCACUCAUGAAUGCCGAGGUUGUGGGUUUGAGUCCCACAGUACACA
rfam:Puccinia sorghi strain RO10H11247 Scaffold_1657, whole genome shotgun sequence.